rnacentral:rRNA from 1 species
UAGGGAAUCUUCGGCAAUGGGGGGAACCCUGACCGAGCAACGCCGCGUGAGUGAAGAAGGUUUUCGGAUCGUAAAGCUCUGUUGUUAAGGAAGAACGAGUGUGAGAAUGGAAAGUUCAUACUGUGACGGUACUUAACCAGAAAGGGACGGCUAACUACGUGCCAGCAGCCGCGGUAAUACGUAGGUCCCGAGCGUUGUCCGGAUUUAUUGGGCGUAAAGCGAGCGCAGGCGGUUAGAUAAGUCUGAAGUUAAAGGCAGUGGCUCAACCAUUGUAGGCUUUGGAAACUGUUUAACUUGAGUGCAGAAGGGGAGAGUGGAAUUCCAUGUGUAGCGAUGAAAUGCGUAGAUAUAUGGAGGAACACCGGUGGCGAAAGCGGCUCUCUGGUCUGUAACUGACGCUGAGGCUCGAAAGCGUGGGGAGCGAACAGG